rnacentral:rRNA from 1 species
AUUGAACGCUGGCGGCAGGCUUAACACAUGCAAGUCGAACGAUGAAACUCUAGCUUGCUCGAGAUGAUUAGUGGCGGACGGGUGAGUAACAUUUAGGAAUCUGCCUAGUAGUGGGGGAUAGCUCGGGGAAACUCGAAUUAAUACCGCAUACGACCUACGGGUGAAAGGGGGCGCAAGCUCUUGCUAUUAGAUGAGCCUAAAUCAGAUUAGCUAGUUGGUGGGGUAAAGGCCCACCAAGGCGACGAUCUGUAACUGGUCUGAGAGGAUGAUCAGUCACACCGGAACUGAGACACGGUCCGGACUCCUACGGGAGGCAGCAGUGGGGAAUAUUGGACAAUGGGGGCAACCCUGAUCCAGCCAUGCCGCGUGUGUGAAGAAGGCCUUUUGGUUGUAAAGCACUUUAAGCAGGGAGGAGAGGCUAAUGGUUAAUACCCAUUAGAUUAGACGUUACCUGCAGAAUAAGCACCGGCUAACUCUGUG